rnacentral:rRNA from 1 species
UACGUAGGGGGCAAGCGUUGUCCGGAUUCAUUGGGCGUAAAGAGCUCGUAGGCGGUUUGGCAAGUCGGGUGUGAAAUUUCGAGGCUCAACCUCGAAACGCCACUCGAUACUGCCAUGACUGGAGUCCGGUAGAGGAGUGCGGAAUUCCUGGUGUAGCGGUGAAAUGCGCAGAUAUCAGGAGGAACACCAACGGCGAAGGCAGCACUCUGGGCCGGUACUGACGCUGAGGAGCGAAAGCGUGGGGAGCAAACAGG